rnacentral:rRNA from 1 species
UGCUUCCUGAUGUCAGUCGUGAUU